rnacentral:rRNA from 1 species
UGGGGAAUUUUGGACAAUGGGGGCAACCCUGAUCCAGCAAUGCCGCGUGUGUGAAGAAGGCCUUCGGGUUGUAAAGCACUUUUGUCCGGAAAGAAAACGUCGUGGUUAAUACCCGUGGCGGCUGACGGUACCGGAAGAAUAAGCACCGGCUAACUACGUGCCAGCAGCCGCGGUAAUACGUAGGGUGCAAGCGUUAAUCGGAAUUACUGGGCGUAAAGCGUGCGCAGGCGGUCCGCUAAGACAGAUGUGAAAUCCCCGGGCUUAACCUGGGAACUGCAUUUGUGACUGGCGGGCUAGAGUAUGGCAGAGGGGGGUUAGAAUUCCACGUGUAGCAGUGAAAUGCGUAGAGAUGUGGAGGAAUACCGAUGCGAAGGCAGCCCCCUGGGCCAAUACUGACGCUCAUGCACGAAAGCGUGGGGAGCAAACAGGAUUCAGAUACCCUGGUAGUCCACGCCCUAAACGAUGUCAACUA